CAGUCGAACGGACUUACAUUGAAGCCUAGCGAUAUGUAAGUUAGUGGCGGACCGGUUAGAAACGCGUGGGUAACCUGCCUUGUACUGAGGGACAACCGUUGGAAACGACUGCUAAUACCGCAUAAGCGCACAGCUUCGCAUGAAGCAGUGUGAAAAACUCCGGUGGUACAAGAUGGACCCGCGUCUGAUUAGCUGGUUGGUGAGGUAACGGCCCACCAAGGCAACGAUCAGUAGCCGGCCUGAGAGGGUGAACGGCCACAUUGGGACUGAGACACGGCCCAAACUCCUACGGGAGGCAGCAGUGGGGAAUAUUGCACAAUGGGGGAAACCCUGAUGCAGCAACGCCGCGUGAGUGAAGAAGUAUUUCGGUAUGUAAAGCUCUAUCAGCAGGAAAGAAAAUGACGGUACCUGACUAAGAAGCCCCGGCUAACUACGUGCCAGCAGCCGCGGUAAUACGUAGGGGGCAAGCGUUAUCCGGAUUUACUGGGUGUAAAGGGAGCGUAGACGGUUUUGCAAGUCUGAAGUGAAAGCCCGGGGCUUAACCCCGGGACUGCUUUGGAAACUGUAGGACUAGAGUGCAGGAGAGGUAAGUGGAAUUCCUAGUGUAGCGGUGAAAUGCGUAGAUAUUAGGAGGAACACCAGUGGCGAAGGCGGCUUACUGGACUGUAACUGACGUUGAGGCUCGAAAGCGUGGGGAGCAAACAGGAUUAGAUACCCUGGUAGUCCACGCCGUANACGAUGAUUACUAGGUGUUGGUGGGUAUGACCCAUCGGUGNCGC
rnacentral:rRNA from 1 species